rnacentral:rRNA from 1 species
CUCAGAACGAACGCUGGCGGCGCNGUAUAAGCAUGCAAGUCGAACGGUAACCAUCCUUCGGGAUGGCUAGAGUGGCGAACGGGUGAGUAACACGUAGGUGAUCUGCCCUUGAGUUGGGGAUAGCCCAUGGAAACAUGGGGUAAUACCGAAUACGCCCGCGACCCUGUGGGGAUGUGAGGAAAAGCGCUUCGGCGCUGCUCGAGGAUGAGCCUGCGGCUGACUAGUUAGUUGGUGGGGUAACGGCCUACCAAGGCGACGAUCAGUAGCCGGCCUGAGAGGGUGAGCGGCCACACUGCGACUGAGAUACGGCCCAGACUCCUACGGGAGGCAGCAGCUAAGAAUCUUCUACAAUGGACGAAAGUCUGAUAGAGCGACGCCGCGUGGGUGAUGAAGGCCGGAAGGUUGUAAAGCCCUUUUCUAUUCGAGGAAUAAGGUGUGGAGGCAAUGCCACACUGAUGACGGUAGGGUAGGAAUAAGCCCCGGGCAAUUACGUGCCAGCAGCCGCGGUAACACGUAUGGGGCGAGCGUAGUUCGGAAUCAUUGGGCGUAAAGGGCGCGUAGGCGGAUAUGCAAGCUUGGUGUGACAGACCGCAGCUCAACUGCGGGAGCGCGCUGAGACCUGCCUAUCUUGA